UCUCUUUUAGCUUUCUAAAAUAAAUAACCAUCAAUGGUUAUGUCUAAGGUGUUGGGUGCUACUUUGGUUGUCAUGCUCUUCCUAGGCAUGACCUCUGCAACCAGGGUUUGGUCGAAUAAUGGAGGUGGUGGUGGAGGUGGCGGCGGUGGUGGUGGAGGAGGUAGUGGAAAGGGAAGUGGUUUUGGUUAUGGCUCAGGAUAUGGUUCGGGACAUGGGAAAGGAGGUGGGUAUGGUAGUGGAGGCGGCGGUGGAGGGGGACACGGUGGCGGUGGAGGUCAAGCUGGUAGUGGCUAUGGAUCCGGUUCAGGUUAUGGAAGUGGUAAAGGGAGUGGAGGUGGACACGGUGGUGGUGGUGGAG
rnacentral:lncRNA from 1 species